UACGUAGGCAGCGAGCGUUGUUCGGAGUUACUGGGCGUAAAGCGUGCGUAGGCGGUGGUCCAAGUCUGGUGUGAAAUCUCCCGGCUCAACUGGGAGGGUGCGCCGGAAACUGGGCCGCUGGAGUAUGGGAGAGGCAAGCGGAAUUCCAGGUGUAGCGGUGAAAUGCGUAGAGCUCGGGAAGAACAUCGGUGGCGAAAGCGCUCUACUGGACUGCAACUGACACUCAGGGACGAAAGCUAGGGGAGCAAAUGGG
rnacentral:rRNA from 1 species